rnacentral:rRNA from 1 species
CCUUGCCAGCCCGCUCAGAACUCAAAUGAAUUGACGGGGCCCGGCACAAGCAGCGGAGCAUGUGGUUUAAUUCGAAGCAACGCGAAGAACCUUACCUAGACUUGACAUCUCCUGAAUUACCCGUAACUGGGGAAGCUCUUCGGAGCAGGAAGACAGGUGGUGCAUGGUUGUCGUCAGCUCGUGUCGUGAGAUGUUGGGUUAAGUCCCGCAACGAGCGCAACCCUUAUCGUUAGUUGCUACCAUUAGGUUGAGCACUCUAGCGAGACUGCCCGGGUUAACCGGGAGGAAGGUGGGGAUGACGUCAAAUCAUCAUGCCCCUUAUGUCUAGGGCUACACACGUGCUACAAUGGUGAGGACAAAGAGACGCAAGACCGCGAGGUGGAGCAAAUCUCACAAACCUCAUCCCAGUUCGGAUUGCAGGCUGAAACUCGCCUGCAUGAAGCCGGAGUUGCUAGUAAUCGCGAAUCAGCAUGUCGCGGUGAAUACGUUCCCGGGCCUU